rnacentral:rRNA from 1 species
UACGUAGGGGGCAAGCGUUGUCCGGAAUCAUUGGGCGUAAAGCGCGUGUAGGCGGUUCGAUAAGUCUGCUGUGAAAGUCCAAGGCUCAACCUUGGGAUGCCGGUGGAUACUGUCGGGCUAGAGUGCGGAAGAGGCGAGUGGAAUUCCCGGUGUAGCGGUGAAAUGCGCAGAUAUCGGGAGGAACACCAAUUGCGAAGGCAGCUCGCUGGGACGUAACUGACGCUGAGACGCGAAAGCGUGGGGAGCAAACAGG